rnacentral:lncRNA from 1 species
GGAAGUGCUUGCAGAGGGGAGGGGCAUGCAAAAAAUGUCCUCAGGCACUGGGAAGAGGGAGAACCCAGCGGCUUCCAAAGUACCUGCUCUGCACCCCUGCCAUGCCUCCGUCAAAGCUGACCUAGCCUAUCUGGUACAUAUUCACCAUAAUAAACUUUUCUUACUCUCUUAUUCAUCUGUAACAACUUUCCUAGUGAUGUGCUGAGGAGGAUUCUUUGCCCUGCUUUCUGUGCUGGUGAGACCAUCGGAUAUAGCAGAGGAAACUCAGAGUACUUUGGUGGGGGGGUAAGUAAAAAAAAAAAACUUUUCUUUCCCUAAUGGCGUUAUAUUUGUUAAUAAUUUAAGACCAGUAUAUUCUCUUCUCAG